rnacentral:rRNA from 1 species
GACGAACGCUGGCGGCGUGCCUAAUACAUGCAAGUAGAACGCUGAAGGAGGAGCUUGCUCUUCUGGAUGAGUUGCGAACGGGUGAGUAACGCGUAGGUAACCUGCCUGGUAGCGGGGGAUAACUAUUGGAAACGAUAGCUAAUACCGCAUAACAGUAGAUGUUGCAUGACAUUUGCUUAAAAGGUGCAAUUGCAUCACUACCAGAUGGACCUGCGUUGUAUUAGCUAGUUGGUGGGGUAACGGCUCACCAAGGCGACGAUACAUAGCCGACCUGAGAGGGGGAUCGGCCACACUGGGACUGAGACACGGCCCAGACUCCUACGGGAGGCAGCAGUAGGGAAUCUUCGGCAAUGGACGGAAGUCUGACCGAGCAACGCCGCGUGAGUGAAGAAGGUUUUCGGAUCGUAAAGCUCUGUUGUAAGAGAAGGACGAGUGUGAGAGUGGAAAGUUCACACUGUGACGGUAGCUUACCAGAAAGGGACGGCUAACAACGUG